rnacentral:tRNA from 1 species
CGGGCUGAUGAUCCUUCUCCAUCUUAUUAGAACAUAGAUCGCAGGCCAGUCAGCCUGACGAUCGCUUUGCAGGCGUGCCGCCUUCGUUUCUCUUUCUUCAUUGUUGAUUGACACUUGUACCGCUCACGAGCCGUAUUGCAGCUGCGCUGCUUGGCUCUGCGCGAGCGCGCCGCAUGAGCGGCGACGGACCUAGCGUCCUGUAUUUGGUUCUAACGGUUUGUUUGUUGGUUCUAAUACAAGGGCUUGUAGCUCAGUUGGUUAGAGCACACGCUUGAUAAGCGUGGGGUCGGAGGUUCAAGUCCUCCCAGGCCCACCAAAUUGUGAUAAGGGGCCAUAGCUCAGCUGGGAGAGCACCUGCUUUGCAAGCAGGGGGUCGUCGGUUCGAUCCCGUCUGGCUCCACCAUCACUUUUUUGGUGUCGAGUAGGACGGAUAGACAGUCAGUCAACAAGAGAAAGAACCAAGUUUGCGGACUUUACGAAGUCUGCGUGUUCUGUAUGAAAUCGUGAAGAGAAGAUGUAAUCGGAUCAGCUUUAUGGCUGAUGUCGCAAUGGUUUGCUCAAACCUUGCAUUAUGAUUGGACGCUAACCGCGCCACCGAUUGUAUCUCGAGAAGCUGGUCUUUCUGCUGAUAUGAUCAGAGCUUAAUGCUUUGAUGGAUAUUGGCAAUGAGAGUGAUCAAGUGUCUUAAGGGCAUUUGGUGGAUGCCUUGGCAUGCACAGGCGAUGAAGGACGUGAUACGCUGCGAUAA